rnacentral:pre_miRNA from 1 species
CCAAAACGAACCAUUUUUUCACUUUUUACCUAUAAUAUUUGACUAUUCGUCUUAUUUAAGAAAUUUUUACGAUUAACAUUUUUGUUUUAUUAGAUGAUAAAUUAUAAAUAGUACUUAACGUGUGACUAUUUAUUUUUAAUUUUUUAAAAAAUUUUAAAUAAGACGAAUGAUCAACGUUGGACACGAGAACUGAAAAUUUGGUUUAUC